AUACGGAGGGUGCAAGCGUUAUGCGGAAUCAUUGGGUUUAAAGGGUCCGUAGGCGGGCGAUUAAGUCAGAGGUGAAAUCCCACAGCUCAACUGUGGAACUGCCUUUGAUACUGGUUGUCUUGAGUUACAGUGAAGUAGAUAGAAUGUGUAGUGUAGCGGUGAAAUGCAUAGAUAUUACACAGAAUACCGAUUGCGAAGGCAGUCUACUAACUGUAUACUGACGCUAAUGGACGAAAGCGUGGGGAGCGAACAGGAUUAGAUACCCUUGUAGUCC
rnacentral:rRNA from 1 species